AAACAUUUGAAAAUGAUGUCUUCUCAUCCUUUUAUCAAGAAUAUGUUGCAGCUUUUUGCAUGACAAUCCUUGGCAUUAAUGAGGGGGCCGUGCUGAUGCUUGUGUCUUCAGCCUCACUCAGCAUGCUAUGUCUUCUGUGUCUCAAGUGCAAAAAGAAAUCCAAAAUCAUCCAACAGGAUUCCUCGAUAUAUGACCCUCAGAUAUUCCAACGUGAAGGCAGCCGAUUUGCUGUCACACGCUCAAAGACAGUAACGCGGCCCAAUCAAAUGAAAACACAGAACCAAGAGGAAACUGAAGUGAGACAUUCCCAUAUCUCUCAAUCUGCAAAUGAAGAUUACACAUUUGUCAUUGGUGACCAAGAGGGCUUUGACGCUACAUAUGUCUCCCCACUUCCAAUUGCAGUGUAUGGAAACAUUGAGGAAAUGAAACAAGCAGCAUCUGCUUCCAAUUUAUGUGACUAUGAAAAUAUUUUGACUGCUUCAUCGAUCAACGAUGAUGAGGAUUAUGAAAACUCUGAAUUCUUAAAAAACGUUGAGGAUUUAACAGAUGACCCAGACUAUGUGAAUACCCAACAGGGUGCUUGCUGAUAUGAACACCACCAGAUAGAGGAGGAAUUCUCAUGGCUCAAUAAGCAGGAGGAGCCAAACAUAGUCUCUGCUAUUCAUAGCAGAGACCUGUGUUAAUGACAGAGAGCCUCACCGGUCAAACUCCAAUGAAAAAGGCUUACAAGAAAAGUAAAAAUAAUAAUAAAUAUUCAAUAUUUAUCUAUGAUCUUUGUAACAAAUGUAUCUUUGUAUGAUUCAUUUCAGAAAAAAAGGUGUUCCAAGAAGUGAGAAAAUCUUAACUUUUUCUGAUAUGCCAUUAGAAGAUACAUCUGUUAAUAAAUAUUUAGGAUUUCCAUUCGAUGAAUUUAUGAAUUAUGAAAAUGGAAUUAAACUCCUGGCUGAUUCAGCUGGUAGAGCUUUGGUUCCGUUGUUAACAAGUUAAAAAUAGGUAAAGACCUUGGUUAUUCUACUUACUCUCAAUUUUAUGAUGCAUGUGUUUCUCCAAUUGUGAAUUAUGCUGCUGGGGUAUGGGGAUUUAAAGAAAGAAAGAUCUCAGAUGCAGUACAAAACAGAGCAAUACGUUGUUUUCUGGGUAUUCAUAUAUAUGUUCCCUCUUUGGCUCUUUUGGGUUGGAUUCCUGCUACAAUAAGGAGAAAGGUUGAUAUGAUUAGACUGUGGAAUCGUUGUGUUAAUAUGUCCGAUGACAG
ensembl:lncRNA